rnacentral:tRNA from 1 species
AAUUUAAAAUGAAUCUCAUAUUUUUGAUACCACAAAUCAAUAUUUUUAUUAAAUUAUUUAAAU